AGAGAUGUGUGAUGACGCAUAUCAAUAAGCGGAGGAAAAGAAACUAAUAAGGAUUCCCUUAGUAACGGCGAGUGGAGCGGGAAGAGCUCAAAUUUGAAAUCUUCAAGGUUCUACCUUGACGAAUUGUAGUUUAUAGAAGUGUUUUCUGUUAGUAGAGUGGCAAAAGUUCUUUGGAAUAGGACAUCAUAGAGGGUGAGAAUCCCGUAUUUGGUCAUUCUUUCUAGCUUUGUGAUACACUUUCAACGAGUCGGAUUGUUUGGGAAUGCAGUCCAAAAUGGGUGGUAAAUUUCAUCUAAAGCUAAAUAUUGGCGAGAGACCGAUAGCGAACAAGUACCGUGAGGGAAAGAUGAAAAGAACUUUGAAAAGAGAGUUAAACAGUACGUGAAAUUGUCAAAAGGGAAGCGUUUCGACACCAGUGUUGUUUUUCCGAAAAUCAAUUACGAAUGUUUUAGUUUUUGAGAAGUUAUGACUUCAUCGGCUUGCUUCUUUCUUUACGAAACCUUCUUAAUGCACUUUUCGGUUAACAAGUCGACAUCAAUUUCUUUUGUUGUAAAAGGGUAUGAGGAAGGUGGCUUUCUUUUCGGAGAAAGUGUUUAUAGCCUUGUACCUCUGCAAUCGGAGAGAUUGAGGUCUGCAGCGUAGAUCCUUCGGGGUUAGAUACAUUUGUGCUAAGUUAUAGCUUUUCAUAGACAACUUGUUGACUACGUUUAGUCUUGUAGCUUACUCGCUUAUGCUAUUUUACCUACGCUUAGGAUGUUGAGUAGCGACAUACGCAC
rnacentral:rRNA from 1 species